rnacentral:rRNA from 1 species
AACGAACGCUGGCGGCGCGCCUAAUACAUGCAAGUCGAGCGAGAAGGUGUAGCAAUACACUUGUAAAGCGGCGAACGGGUGAGGAAUACAUGGGUAAUCUGCCCUCGAGCUCGGGAUAACCAGUCGAAAGACUGGCUAAUACCGGAUAUGACCACAAGAUCUGAGGAUCAAGGGGUAAAAGGUUUUUUCGCUUGAGGAUGAGCCCAUGUGGGAUUAGCUAGUUGGUGUAGGUAACGGCUCACCAAGGCGACGAUCCCUAACUGGUCUUAGAGGAUGAUCAGUCACACUGGAACUGAGACACGGUCCAGACUCCUACGGGAGGCAGCAGUAGGGAAUAUUGCACAAUGGAGGAAACUCUAGAUGCAGCGACGCCGCGUGAGUGAUGAAGGCCUUCGGGUC